GACGAACGCUGGCGGCGUGCCUAACACAUGCAAGUCGAACGAGAGCGGCCGGUGCUUGCACGGGUUAAUCGAGUGGCGAACGGGUGAUGAAUACGUGGGUAACCUGCACAGCAGAAGGGGAUAACAUCCGGAGACGGAUGCUAGAAUCGCAUAGGUCUGCGAACGGCAGGGUUUGUAGAGGAAAAGAGGCGCAGGUGUCUGUUGAUGGGUGGAGCGGGGGUGGAUUAGCAAGUUGGUGAGGUAACGGCUCACCAAGGCCGUGAUGCAUAGCCGACCUGAGAGGAUGAUCAGUCACAGUGGGACUGAGACACGGCCCAAACUCCUACGGGAGGCAGCAGUAGGGAAUCUUGCGCAAUGGACGGAAGUCUGAUCGAGCAACGCCGCGUGUGUGAAGAAGGUUUUCGGAUCGUAAAACUCUGUUAUUAGAGAAGAACAAGUGCUAGAGUAACUGUUAGCGCCUUGACGGUAUCUAACCAGAAAGCCACGGCUAACUACGUG
rnacentral:rRNA from 1 species